rnacentral:rRNA from 1 species
GACGAACGCUGGCGGCGUGCUUAACACAUGCAAGUCGAACGGAAAGGCCCUGCUUUUGUGGGGUGCUCGAGUGGCGAACGGGUGAGUAACACGUGAGUAACCUGCCCUUGACUUUGGGAUAACUUCAGGAAACUGGGGCUAAUACCGGAUAGGAGCUCCUGCUGCAUGGUGGGGGUUGGAAAGUUUCGGCGGUUGGGGAUGGACUCGCGGGUUAUCAGCUUGUUGGUGGGGUAGUGGCUUACCAAGGCUUUGACGGGUAGCCGGCCUGGGAGGGUGACCGGCCACAUUGGGACUGAGAUACGGCCCAGACUCCUACGGGAGGCAGCAGUGGGGAAUAUUGCACAAUGGGCGGAAGCCUGAUGCAGCAACGCCGCGUGCGGGAUGACGGCCUCCGGGUUGUAAACCGCUUUCGCCUGUGACGAAGCGUGAGUGACGGUAAUGGGUAAAGAAGCACCGGCUAACUACGUG